rnacentral:lncRNA from 1 species
UUGGUAUAUAACUAUAUAUGUAUAUAUGUGCUAUUAAAAUAUGUAUAAUAGGUGCUAAUUAAGGUAACAGCUUAAGUUUUUGAAAUAAAUGAUUGUUUCAUAUAGUAUCAACUUACGUAGAUAGCCCGAGUUCAAGUAUUUAAUUAUAUACAGAUUAAGUUUUUGAAAUAAAUGAUUGUUUCAUAUAGUAUCAACACACAUAGAUAGCCCAAGUUCAAGUAUAUUAUUCGGCCUAAUUAAAUAAAGUUCAUUUCUACGUAAGGUUUUAAAGACAAGAAACUUUUUAACAGUAUUAACAAAGUGCGCUUUUACAGAUCGACCGUACGUACCUAGCGUAAUUAGCUAAGUAUUUGAUGGUUAGUAUCAGAGGUCCCAAAUUCGAAGUAUAGUUGCUUCGUAUUAUUUUUCUCUCAGAAAAAAUAUAACAUGGGCUUGUAUAU